UACGUAGGGUGCGAGCGUUAAUCGGAAUUACUGGGCGUAAAGCGUGCGCAGGCGGUUUUGUAAGCCAGAUGUGAAAUCCCCGGGCUUAACCUGGGAAUGGCAUUUGGGACUGCAAGGCUUGAGUGCGGCAGAGGAGACUGGAAUUCCUGGUGUAGCAGUGAAAUGCGUAGAUAUCAGGAGGAACACCGAUGGCGAAGGCAGGUCUCUGGGCUGACACUGACGCUCAUGCACGAAAGCUAGGGGAGCAAAGCAGG
rnacentral:rRNA from 1 species